rnacentral:rRNA from 1 species
UACGUAGGGACCGAGCGUUGUCCGGAUUCAUUGGGCGUAAAGAGCUCGUAGGCGGCUGUUCAAGUCGAACGUGAAAACUCGGAGCUCAACUCCGAGCCUGCGUUCGAGACUGGAUGGCUAGAGUCUGGUAGGGGGAUCUGGAAUUCCUGGUGUAGCGGUGGAAUGCGCAGAUAUCAGGAGGAACACCGAUGGCGAAGGCAGCUCGCUGGGACGGUACUGACGCUGAGGCGCGAAAGCGUGGGGAGCAAACAGG